rnacentral:hammerhead_ribozyme from 1 species
UUCCAGCUGACGAGUCCCAUAUAGGACGAAACGCGCAUCCUGGAU